rnacentral:rRNA from 1 species
UACGUAGGGUGCAAGCGUUGUCCGGAAUUAUUGGGCGUAAAGAGCUCGUAGGCGGUUUUGUCGCGUCUGGUGUGAAAAUCCAGGGCUUAACCCUGGACCUGCAUCGGGUACGGGCAGACUAGAGUGCGGUAGGGGAGAUUGGAAUUCCUGGUGUAGCGGUGGAAUGCGCAGAUAUCAGGAGGAACACCGAGUGGCGAAGGCAGAUCUCUGGGC